CCUACGGGAGGCAGCAGUGGGGAAUAUUGCACAAUGGGGGAAACCCUGAUGCAGCGACGCCGCGUGAGUGAAGAAGUAAUUCGUUAUGUAAAGCUCUAUCAGCAGGGAAGAAAAUGACGGUACCUGAGUAAGAAGCCCCGGCUAACUACGUGCCAGCAGCCGCGGUAAUACGUAGGGGGCAAGCGUUAUCCGGAUUUACUGGGUGGAAAGGGAGCGUAGACGGCAGUGAAAGUCUGGAGUGAAAGGCGGGGGCUCAACCCCCGGACUGCUCUGGAAACUGUACGGCUGGAGUGCAGGAGAGGUAAGUGGAAUUCCUAGUGUAGCGGUGAAAUGCGUAGAUAUUAGGAGGAACACCAGUGGCGAAGGCGGCUUACUGGACUGUAACUGACGUUGAGGCUCGAAAGCGUGGGGAGCAAACAGGAUUAGAUACCCCAGUAGUC
rnacentral:rRNA from 1 species